rnacentral:rRNA from 1 species
UACGAACGCUGGCGGCAGGCUUAACACAUGCAAGUCGAACGCCCCGCAAGGGGAGUGGCAGACGGGUGAGUAACGCGUGGGAACGUACCUUUCAGUUCGGAAUAACUCAGGGAAACUUGUGCUAAUACCGGAUACGCCCGCAAGGGGAAAGAUUUAUCGCUGAAAGAUCGGCCCGCGUUGGAUUAGCUAGUUGGUGGGGUAAAGGCCUACCAAGGCGACGAUCCAUAGCUGGUCUGAGAGGAUGAUCAGCCACACUGGGACUGAGACACGGCCCAGACUCCUACGGGAGGCAGCAGUGGGGAAUUUUGGACAAUGGGGGAAACCCUGAUCCAGCAACGCCGCGUGAAUGAAGAAGGCCUUAGGGUUGUAAAGUUCUUUUGUCAGGGAAGAAAGUUUACUGUGCUAAUAUCAUAGAACGAUGACGGUACCUGAAGAAUAAGCACCGGCUAACUACGUGCCAGCAGCCGCGGUAAUGUACAGUGU